UAAGGAAUAUUGGUCAAUGGAGGCAACUCUGAACCAGCCAUGCCGCGUGCAGGAAGACGGCCCUAUGGGUUGUAAACUGCUUUUAUUCGGGAAUAAACCUCUUUACGUGUAAAGAGUUGAAUGUACCGAAAGAAUAAGGAUCGGCUAACUCCGUGCCAGCAGCCGCGGUAAUACGGAGGAUCCAAGCGUUAUCCGGAUUUAUUGGGUUUAAAGGGUGCGUAGGCGGCUUAUUAAGUCAGGGGUGAAAGACGGUGGCUCAACCAUCGCAGUGCCUUUGAUACUGAUGAGCUUGAAUACACUUGAGGUAGGCGGAAUGUGACAAGUAGCGGUGAAAUGCAUAGAUAUGUCACAGAACACCAAAUUGCGAAGGCAGCUUACUAAGGUGCAAUUGACGCUGAGGCACGAAAGCGUGGGGAUCAAACAGGAUUAGAUACCCUGGUAGUCCACGCCCUAAACGAUAAAUACUCGAUGUUAGCGAUAUACAGUUAGCG
rnacentral:rRNA from 1 species